rnacentral:rRNA from 1 species
AACGAACGCUGGCGGCAGGCUUAACACAUGCAAGUCGAGGGCAUCCUUCAGGGUGAGCGGCAGACGGGUGAGUAACGCGUGGGCACGUACCCUUUCCUACGGAAUAGCUCCGGGAAACUGGAAGUAAUACCGUAGACGCCCUUAGGGGGAAAGAUUUACCGGGGAAGGAUUGGCACGCGUUGGAUUAGCUAGUUGGUGGGGUAAAGGCCUACCAAGGCGGCGAUCCAUAGCUGGUCUGAGAGAAUGAUCAGCCACAUGGGGAAUGAGACACGGACCAAACACGUACGGGGGACAGCAGGGGCGAGUAUUGAACAAUGAGCGCGAGCCUGGUCCAGCCAGGCCGCCUGAAUGAUGAAGGCCUUAGGAUUCUAAAGCUCUUUCAGUAGAGAAGAUAAUGACGGUACCUACAGAAGAAGCCCCGGCUAACUUCGUGCCAGCCGCCGCCGUAA